rnacentral:rRNA from 1 species
UAAGGAAUAUUGGUCAAUGGACGCAAGUCUGAACCAGCCAUGCCGCGUGCAGGAAGACGGCCUUAUGGGUUGUAAACUGCUUUUAUACAGGAAUAAACUCCCGUAUGUAUACGGGACUGAAGGUACUGUAAGA